rnacentral:rRNA from 1 species
GUUAAAAAGCUCGUAGUUGGAUUUCUGUUGAGGGCGACCGGUGUACACUUCGUGUAUUAUUUGGUUCGGUCUCGGCAUCCUCUUGGGGAACGUUUCUGGACUUUAUUGGACAGGGCGGAAUUCAAGACUUUUACUUUGAGGAAAUUAGAGUGUUCACGGCAGGCAAGCGCUUAGAAUACAUUAGCAUGGAAUAAUAAUAUAGGACCUUCGUUCUAUUUUGUUGGUUUCUAGAACUUGGGUAAUGAUUAAUAGGGACAAUUGGGGGCAUUCGUAUUAACGCGUCAGAGGUGGAAUUCUUGGAUUGCGUUACGACGAACUACUGCGAAAGCAUUUGCCAAAGAUGUUUUCAUUGAUCAAGAACGAAAGUAUGGGGAUCGAAGACGAUUAGAUACCGUCGUAGUCUAUACCAUAAACUAUGCCAACUAGAGAUUGGAGGAGUUCUAUUUUUUGGCUCCUUCAGCAUCUUAUGAAAAAUCAAAGUUUUUGGGUUCCGGGGGGAAUAU